UUAGAAGGAAGGGGAGAUACUCCCAGGGGCUUGGAAGGACUUGGAUGGGAAUGUGAGGCCUGGGGGGAUUCUCUAACCUCAAGAUCGCCAAUGCAACUUGUCCCAGCAGGCCCAGUCUAAGAAAGGCACAGACCUCCUUGGAAGGAGUGAAUAACUUUGCUUGAUUGAGGGUGUUUCAAGGGAUUCAUAUCUCAGGGAUAUUUUCUCAAACAACCUGAGCUACAUAGUCAAUCUUGCGUCUUAGAAGAAAAUCAGAAGUUGAGCUUAAAGGGUCGUGAUGGGACUAUCAGAGCUGAUCUGCAAAGAAUGAAGAAUUUCUUUGGGGUAGAGAAACGGAAAUGCCUCAGGCCUCUGUCCCAAUAGCAGAAUCCUAUGUUUGUUUGUGGAUGAGAAUCUGUUAUAUAGGAGAUGACUCUGGUGGUUUGCCGUGGAAAUUUGCACAAUUUCUAUUUUGAAAAACAUGCCAGUCUUAUUAACUAGAGGAUACUUGGAUAUCUGUCACAGAAAUGAAAUUGCCUUACCAUUACUUGAGUAUAUUCUGCUUUGCCAAGAUACUACUGUGUCAUAACUCCCGGCUCUUCCUUACCAUAUUCUGGGGCAUGAUUUUUAUACUGUCCUCACCUCUGCUGGUGAGCUCCAACACCAAACUUCAUUAAAGUUAGUUUAUGAAUUAAACUUCAUUGCUUAACCACCAGAUCUCUACCUCCAUAGUCAUAAACGAUCAGCAAGUACUUGCAGUUGUCUAGUUUUAUGUACAGAACUGUACUGGGUACCAUAUAGAAUGCCAAAGGAUAAUUUAUGCUCUUUCAGAUUAAGAAUUUUGUAAUAUUAUAGGGGAAGGAGGGUCACAGAAUAUAAUAUGCGAAACCAAUAGCAAACUACAGAAUCAAAGCAAUGUAGUGUUAUGGAAAUAGAACUUAAGACAGUGCCUAGCUUUAAAAUCUUGCUAUGUAACUCAGUACUUGUGAAAUUGUUAGGCAGAAAGACUGAAAUGAGCAGGAUGAAAAGGGCCCCCCAAAGAUGACUCAGGGAGUUGAUCAGGUGGAACCAGAAAGCCAGAAAUGACUCAGAGAGUUAAUCAGAUGAAGCCACAGGGUCCAGGGUCCCCCAGGUAAGAAAUAUCACAGGUGCAUGCACAGUACAGCCCCUGUCCUCAUUUCACCAAUCAGAACAAGCCCAGAGAGCUGACGGCUGUCAAUCAAGGACCUCUCUGCUCUGCCAAAAACCACAUAAAAGAAGCCUCAGAAUGAGUAUCGAGGCCUGCCUGAGAUGGGCCACUCGAGUGUAUUAAAACUUGCUUUGCUUUCUUGA